rnacentral:rRNA from 1 species
UACGUAGGGGCCGAGCGUUGUCCGGAGUUAUUGGGCGUAAAGCGCGCGCAGGCGGCCUCGCGCGCCCGACGUGAAAGCCCCCGGCUUAACCGGGGAGGGUCGUUGGGGACGGCGGGGCUUGAGGGCGGGAGAGGUCGGUGGAAUUCCCGGUGUAGUGGUGAAAUGCGUAGAGAUCGGGAGGAACACCUGUGGCGAAGGCAGCCCCCUGGGUUAACACUGACGCUCAGGCACGAAAGCGUGGGGAGCAAACAGG